ACGCUCGACACCUACGGGGCAGCAGUGGGGAAUAUUGCACAAUGGGGGAAACCCCGAUGCAGCGACGCCGCGUGGAGGAAGAAGGUCUUCGGAUUGUAAACUCCUGUUGUUGGGGAAAAAGAGGAUGGUACCCAACAAGGAAGUGACGGCUAACUACGUGCCAGCACGCCGGCGGUAAUCUGGAGGCGGGCGUGGACGAAGGC
rnacentral:rRNA from 1 species